AUUGAACGCUGGCGGCAGGCCUAACACACGCAAGUCGAGCGAGCGGAGGACGGGGGAGUAAUGUCUGGGAAACUGCCUGAUGGAGGGGGAUAACUACUGGAAACGGUAGCUAAUACCGCAUACCAUCAGAUGUGCCCAGAGGGGAUUAGCUAGUAGGUGGGGUAACGGCUCACCUAGGCGACGAUCCCUAGCUGGUCUGAGAGGAUGACCAGCCAAACUGGAACUGAUACACUGUCCAGACUCCUACGGGAUGCAGCCGUGGGGAAUAUUGCACAAUGGGCGCAAGCCUGAUGCAGCCAUGCCGCGUGUGUGACGCAGGCCUUCGGGUUGUCAAGCACUUUCAGCGGUGAGGCGUUACCCGCAGAAGGCGCACCGGCUCACUCCGUGCCAGCAGCCGCGGUAAUAC
rnacentral:rRNA from 1 species